UAGGGAAGAAAUCUUCAAAGGAAAAGGAAACACUAUUAUCCAUGAAACCACGAAAGCAUGAAAAGAGACACUCUGUAAAACAGUUGAGGAUGCUAAAGAACACAGGGAAGGAAGAAGAAAAGGAAAUGAAAUGAGUAAAUUUGUUCUUUUAAGAAGAUGAAGAGGAGAGACAUUGUAAAUGAAGUCAACAAAGUAAAGAGGCAUCGAUAAAGAACUGCAAAACCACCCAGGGUCUCUGGUUUUGGAAUUGAAUGGUGAUUGGUAUGUGCAUAAGAGAAAAAAAUGAUGUCUGCAGUGUUCCUCAAGAUGCCCUCUGUGUUGUACCGGUCGCCAACAGAAGGCUGAUCAUAUGGAGCCUUGGUACGUUCCUGUGGCCCCCUCUUUGCACUUGGCAUAUUGCGAACUGAAUGUGCUGAAUCUAAAUCUAACACGGACUUCAAACACCCUGACAAUCACCAAGGAAGAUUGACUACACCGAGCUGUUUACAAGAUGCUUUUGAUGGUGACAUAUAGAGCAACAUGUGUUACGUUAUUAUGGGGAUGGAAUAAAAUAUGAUAUAAACUGUCUGUUGUCAAAGGUAUCCCCAAUAGUCAAAAACCAGGAAAUAAUUGAGUGGAGUCUUCAGAAAAAUCUGACAGGUACUUACCUAAGACUGGUCUAUUUCUGCUUGCAAAACUGCCUACCCCCUUACACAGCACCAGAAAUCAGUGAAUUGGAAGAGGAUGAAUAACAGACUAAAUUGAUGCCGUAGUGAAGACAAUGAAACAGAUCCAGAGAGAUGGACUGACCUUGCCCAUGACUCACAGAAAGUGACCAACCUAGCAAGCCUAGGACCCCAGACUGCCAUGAAAACAUCCACAUGUACAUGGUGUGGCGGCUCAUUUACAAAAAGGAGCUGCUAUUAUUGCCAUCUUGGCUAUCUGUGAUGCUUGCAACUCAUCGGGGCUCCUCGGGGCACAGGACUCCAGGACCGACUCUCCAGCACCGCCUCUCCAUCGCCAGUUCUUGCUACUAACCGCUGCCUUCUUGGAGGGUUUUCAUUUCCCAGUGUACACUUUCAGCGCAUAGAAUGUGCAUAUUAUAUUCAAAGGUUUCCUGUCACUUAAGUAGUAACGUCUUAGUUUUCUCUUAAGCUCUCACACCCAGCACACUGCCUGACAGAGAGCAUUUGUGAAAGGGUGCAUGAACUACACAGAAGUGAACUGAUGUGAGCUUUUUAUAUGUACACCUAAAAGUAAACGUUUUCAGAAUAUCAUGAUGGAGGGAACCAGAUUGCUGUUAUCAAACACACCUAGAUUCUGCAUCAUACAACCAGUAUUUUUGUCUGGUUUUGAUAUCAGGAUCAUAUCAGAUUCAUCAAAUGAACAAAGAUAUCACUCACCAGGAUAACCAACACAUAGAGAAGAUAUGAAACACUUCCAGCAUCCAGGUCUACGCUUCCAACUGCAGCAUGAAGAAUGGACUGGAAGUAGGCAGAAGAUGAAGGAGAGGAUCUGUUAGGAAGCUACUGCGGUAUCCAGACGAGAA
rnacentral:lncRNA from 10 species